CGGACGGGUGAGUAAUGUCUGGGAAACUGCCUGAUGGAGGGGGAUAACUACUGGAAACGGUAGCUAAUACCGCAUAACGUCGCAAGGACCAAAGAGGGGGACCUUAGGGCCUCUUGCCAUCGGAUGUGCCCAGAUGGGAUUAGCUAGUAGGUGGGGUAACGGCUCACCUAGGCGACGAUCCCUAGCUGGUCUGAGAGGAUGACCAGCCACACUGGAACUGAGACACGGUCCAG
rnacentral:rRNA from 1 species